ACCUGGAUAGCCUGGUGGUUAAGGUGUUCGAUUCACAAUCGUUCAUCCCGGGUUUGAGUCCCAAUGGGGUCUCGGUG
rnacentral:tRNA from 1 species